rfam:Bombyx mori DNA, contig: Bm_scaf45_contig24855, strain: p50T/Dazao, build 2, whole genome shotgun sequence.
UUUACUCAAAUUUGUAUGGAGUUCUAACGUUUGCCUACGUUUGCCACUAGGGGCGCUGUUCAAAAUGCAUACAAAUUUUAGUUA